rnacentral:lncRNA from 1 species
UCAUCAUGCAUAAAAAUGCACCAUAGCUCACAGCCUCACAGCCCAAGUCUCCAGCACAUCAUGAUCCAAGGAUCGAGCCAUUUCCAGCAUCAGGGAUUCAGGAUUCCAGACACAAAACACACAUGAAGGGUGCAGGCAAGAAACUAUUCUUUUUCCUAGGGAACGAAAGAAACACUUGAGAGAGUUGCCGCUCACAGAAACACAACAACUCCAGCAGCAAAAGACAGGACUACGAUUCGAGGAUAAAGCGCGACACUGGAGCCUGAUAAUUAACACGGUGAACAAGUCACAAAAACAGACACCGCCAGAAUUUUCCGCUCACGAUUCAGGCUAGGGGACGAACAGCUAAGCGAACGACACAAAAGAGCAAGUAUAUUUUGCAACCUACUGAUGCCUGAUAGUCCCUAAACCAAUCCACUCGCUCUUCUUAUUCGGCUUCUUUGAUGGGUGGUGAAGGCUCCACUGAUGUCACCAGAGAAAGGCUUUUGCAGUCCAGAUAUCUGAAACAAAGGGGCGUAAAAAUCAGUUCAAACUCGAUAUUCAUCCCAGCAAAAAGCCAGUAGAUAGUCCACGCAAUUCGAGGGUAUGAUGAACGACACAGAGGAAGGGAUCCAGUGCACGCUUCACAGUUUUACAAAAAAAAAAAAAUCAAGCGAACGCGUAAUAAUGUGCUUUUCUGAUAUAAAUUCUGAUCAAAAUAAAUUCUACGAUGGAGAUUUAUUUUGAUAAACAGGUAAUAGAAUGAAAUAUCAAUAAGCUAAAUGGUACUAACAACAACAUGAUGAUCAUGCCAACAAUAAGGCUGGUGAAUUGUUGAAUAGGGAUCACCAUUUAAUAGUCAUGGGCAUGCAUCAGCAAAUCAAAAGCAUCACAUAAUCAACUUUCUGUAGUAUGAACAGUGCAAACUGAAUCAUGCAAUCAGGAGUUAAUUGCAAACAAUGGCCAUACAAAUAAAUGUGAACUUAAACUUACUUUCUUUCAUCCAUGCAGGGUGCAUUAUUUGCUUCACCAUAAGCUCCCUAAGUUGCUUUGCUUCGGGGACAACAAAUACUAUGAAUCCCCAAACUACUCUGGGGAUAUUCUAGUCUACAGACUUUUCGGGAGUACUCAUCUAGAUGCUACAACAGAUUACCAGCUACCCAUAGACACAGAAUAGAUUACCACACAACAUAAGACUAACACGACAGACACGAAAUUAGAAGCUAAAGUGACAGCAAAGGAGCAAUAUAUGUUGGAAUUCCUCCAACCAUGCUAUCCUACACCAUUUUGAUGGAAUAUACCUCACCAAUCGCAUCAACU